UACGGAGGGGGCGAGCGUUAUUCGGAAUCACUGGGCGUAAAGCGCACGUAGGCGGACUCUUAAGUCGGUGGUGAAAUCCUGGAGCUCAACUCCAGAACUGCCUUCGAUACUGAGAGUCUCGAGUCCGGGAGAGGUGAGUGGAACUGCGAGUGUAGAGGUGAAAUUCGUAGAUAUUCGCAAGAACACCAGUGGCGAAGGCGGCUCACUGGCCCGAUACUGACGCUGAGGCACGAAAGCGUGGGGAGCAAACAGG
rnacentral:rRNA from 1 species